AUACUAGGUGAUUUACAAGACGAAAAUAUUGGAGAAUUUUGUAACUUUCAUACAACUAAAUCAGAUGCAUUGGGUGGCCAGAGGCGAGAAGAGAAGGUCCCCACCGCCCACGGCCAGCGCGCACCCGUCUGCGCGGGGACGCGCGACUGAUGGGAGAGUAGGGGAUGGAGUCGGUUGGCUUUUGCCUACAGCCAGCUCAGCGCCCCGUUCUAGUCCCUCGCCCCGUGAGGCAUCAGGAGAGUAAGAAAAUUAGACCCUCAGGAGUGAUUCUCGGUUGCUGGGCUCCUCCGUAGUCCCAGCCUGUGAACCUGCUCCAGCCCUCCUCUGGUGCCCUCCCUUCUAAUUUUUUUUUUUUUCACUUUUUUUUGAGGCAGGGUCUCGCUUUGUCGCCCAGACUGGAGUGCAGUGGCGCAAUCACGGCUCACUGCAGCCUCAAGCGAUCCUCCCGCCCCAGCCUCCCGGGUAGCUGGGACUCCAGGCCCGCGCCACCACGCCCUGCUCCUCUCUCCUCCAAUUCUUGAUCGGGCUGGACGUGGGCCAGCGGGGUGGGGCGGGUUUAACUCCGUGUCUGGAAUGCUCCGCUGCCCUACCCCUCAAACAUCCCUUUAAAUGGUGGUGCUAGGAAAGGACGAGGGCCCGGUGGGUUUACUCCCUCUGGCUGAACUACACCUGAUAGAUACCUCAGGGGCGUUUCCCAAGGGGAUGGAUUUAGAUCAGUUAGCAGGAGGAAUGGUGGCUGUCACAAUUUUUUAUAUUCACGUAAGGAUCGCUCCCUCAGAAAUCGCCAAUAUUGGCUCCCCCAAGAAAUAACCUCAU
rnacentral:lncRNA from 1 species